rnacentral:rRNA from 1 species
UGUCCUACGGGUGGCAGCAGUGAGGAAUAUUGGUCAAUGGGCGAGAGCCUGAACCAGCCAAGUCGCGUGAAGGAAGAAGGUUCUAUGGAUUGUAAACUUCUUUUGUAAGGGAAUAAAAAGAGUUACGUGUAACUUAUUGUAUGUACUUUACGAAUAAGGAUCGGCUAACUCCGUGCCAGCAGCCGCGGUAAUACGGAGGAUCCAAGCGUUAUCCGGAUUUAUUGGGUUUAAAGGGUGCGUAGGCGGGCCCUUAAGUCAGUGGUGAAAGUUUGCAGCUUAACUGUAAAAUUGCCAUUGAAACUGAGGGUCUUGAGUGUAAAUAAGGUAGGCGGAAUGUGUUGUGUAGCGGUGAAAUGCUUAGAUAUAACACAGAACACCAAUUGCGAAGGCAGCUUACUGGGAUACAACUGACGCUGAGGCACGAAAGCGUGGGGAUCAAACAGGAUUAGAUACCCUUGUAGUC